rnacentral:rRNA from 1 species
UACGUAGGGGCCAAGCGUUGUCCGGAUUUAUUGGGCGUAAAGAGCUCGUAGGCGGUUCAGUAAGUCGGGUGUGAAAACUCUGGGCUCAACCCAGAGACGCCACCCGAUACUGCUGUGACUUGAGUACGGUAGGGGAGUGGGGAAUUCCUGGUGUAGCGGUGAAAUGCGCAGAUAUCAGGAGGAACACCAGUGGCGAAGGCGCCACUCUGGGCCGUAACUGACGCUGAGGAGCGAAAGCGUGGGUAGCAAACAGG